rnacentral:lncRNA from 1 species
CUGGAGUCACAAUACAUCUAGUAAAGAGAAAACAAGCCUGAAGCCUGUGCUGAAAAAAGAUGAUCGAAAUUUCUCUAAGGGUCUAUUCUUUUAUGGAUAAAUAUCAUGAAAAAUUGAUCAACUUUCUCAUUGAUUAAUUUAUCUAUAUUUUCAUAUUUUUCAAGAUGGAUAAGUUACUUUUUUAUAUAUAGUAUUUACUCAUCAAAUG